rnacentral:rRNA from 1 species
GCAUAUCAAUAAGCGGAGGAAAAGAAACCAACAGGGAUUGCCUCAGUAACGGCGAGUGAAGCGGCAAAAGCUCAAAUUUGAAACCUUCGGGAUUGUAAUUUGAAGACCUGGCAUUGAGAAAAGCUAACCCAAGUUACUUGGAAUAGUACGUCAUAGAGGGUGACAACCCCGUCUGGCUAACCGUUUCUCGUGUAUUGCCUUGUCAAAGAGUCGAGUUGUUUGGGAAUGCAGCUCAAAGUGGGUGGUAAACUCCAUCUAAAGCUAAAUACUGGUGAGAGACCGAUAGCGAACAAGUACUGUGAAGGAAAGGUGAAAAGAACUUUGAAAAGAGAGUGAAAUAGUAUGUGAAAUUGUUGAUAGGGAAGGGAAUGCUUGUAGAAUGGGCGAGGUUUCAACUAUCUUUCGAGAUGGUGUACUGCCAACCCCGGGUUAUUGUUAGCGAUUGUUGAGGGAUAAACGAAUUACUUCGGUAAUCCUCCUACCUCAACUCCUGCCAUCAACAACGUAAUACAAGUACUCCACCCGUCUUGAAACACGGACCAAGGAGUCUAAUGGAUAUGUGAGUGUUAGGAUUUAAAUCCCAGCGCGUAAUGAAAGUGAACGAUUUGUUCAAAAUCAACCGAACUUGAUUAUCAUGACAGUUUUGAGUAAACAAAUCCAUUGGGACCCGAAAGAUGGUGAACUAUGCCUGAAUAGGGUGAAGUCAGAGGAAACUCUGAUGGAGGCUCGUAGCGGUUUCUGACGUGCAAAUCGAUCGUAG